UACAGAGGGUGCGAGCGUUGUUCGGAAUUAUUGGGCGUAAAGGGCGCGUAGGCGGCGCCACAAGUCACUUGUGAAAACUCUGGGCUCAACUCAGAGCCUGCAAGCGAAACUGUGGUGCUGGAGUAUGGGAGAGGUGCGUGGAAUUCCGGGUGUAGUGGUGAAAUGCGUAGAGAUCCGGAGGAACCCCAGAGGCGAAGGCGGCCCCCUGGCUCGUACCUGACGCUCAGCCACGAAAGCAUGGGGAGCGAACGGG
rnacentral:rRNA from 1 species